UACGAAGGGGGCUAGCGUUGUUCGGAAUCACUGGGCGUAAAGGGCGCGUAGGCGGCUUUGUAAGUCGGGGGUGAAAGCCUGUGGCUCAACCACAGAAUUGCCUUCGAUACUGCAUGGCUUGAGACCGGAAGAGGUUAGUGAAACUGCGAGUGUAGAGGUGAAAUUCGUAGAUAUUCGCAAGAACACCAGUGGCGAAGGCGGCUGACUGGUCCGGAUCUGACGCUGAGGCGCGAAAGCGUGGGGAGCAAACAGGG
rnacentral:rRNA from 1 species